GUAGGUGGCAAGCGUCGUCCGGAAUUAUUGGGCGUAAAGCGCGCGCAGGCGGUUCUUUAAGUCUGAUGUGAAAGCCCACGGCUCAACCGCGGAGGGUCAUUGGAAACUGGAGAACUUGAGUACAGAAGAGGAAAGCGGAAUUCCACGUGUAGCGGUGAAAUGCGUAGAGAUGUGGAGGAACACCAGUGGCGAAGGCGGCUUUCUGGUCUGUAACUGACGCUGAGGCGCGAAAGCGUGGGGAGCAAACAGGGAUUAGAUACCCUGGUAGUCCACGCCGUAAACGAUGAGUGCUAAGUGUUAGGGGGUUUCCGCCCCCUUAGUGCUGCAGCUAACGCAUUAAGCACUCCGCCUGGGGAGUACGGCCGCAAGGCUG
rnacentral:rRNA from 1 species